rnacentral:rRNA from 1 species
AUUGAACGCUGGCGGCAGGCCUAACACAUGCAAGUCGAGCGAGAGGCGGACGGGUGAGUAAUGUAUGGGGACUGCCCGAUAGAGGGGGAUAACUACUGGAAACGGGAGCUAAUACCGCAUACGAACGGAUAACCAAUAUGGGAUUAGCUCUUAGGUGAGGUAAUGGCUCACCUAGGCGAAGAUCCCUAGCUGGUCUGAGAGGCCAACCAGCCACACUGGGACUGAGCCCCGGCCCCGACUCCUACGGAGGCAGCAGUGGGGAAUUUUGGACAAUGGGGGAAACCCUGAUCCAGCCAUCCCGCGUGUAUUAUGAAGGCCUUCGGGUUUUAAAGUACUUUUGGCAGAGAAGCGGUAUCUGCAGAAUAAGCACCUGCUAACUCCGUGCCAGCAGCCGCGGUAAUAC